rnacentral:rRNA from 1 species
GAUGAACGCGGGCGGCGUGCUUAAUACAUCAAGUAGAACGCUGAAGCUUGGUGCUUCACCGAGCGGAUGAGUUGCGAACGGGUGAGUAACGCGUAGGUAACCUGCCUCUUAGCGGGGGAUAACUAUUGGAAACGAUAGCUAAUACCGCAUAAAAGUCGACAUUGCAUGAUGUUGACUUGAAAGGUGCAAUUGCAUCACUAAGAGAUGGACCUGCGUUGUAUUAGCUAGUUGGUGAGGUAACGGCUCACCAAGGCAACGAUACAUAGCCGACCUGAGAGGGUGAUCGGCCACACUGGGACUGAGACACGGCCCAGACUCCUACGGGAGGCAGCAGUAGGGAAUCUUCGGCAAUGGGGGCAACCCUGACCGAGCAACGCCGCGUGAGUGAAGAAGGUUUUCGGAUCGUAAAGCUCUGUUGUAAGAGAAGAACGAGUGUGAGAGUGGAAAGUUCACACUGUGACGGAACUACCAGAAAGGACGC